rnacentral:rRNA from 1 species
AAUUCUGUUGGUUAUAAACGUUAACGUCCCGGUGGGGGUACGAUUCAAGAUUUAACAAAGGAAUUUCGGGGGGCGGCAAGCGGUGGGACCAUGGUUUAAUUCGAACAAAGCGAAGAACCCUACCAGGGUUUGACAUGCCUACCUAAGGCUUAUCGAAAGCCUUUGGUGGUGUAGAGCUUGUCUUUAUACAGUUAGUGCAGGUGCCGCAUGCUGUCGCCAGCUCGUGCCGUGAGGUGUCCGGUUAAGUCCGGUAACGAGCGCAACCCCUAUGUUUAGUUGCCAGCACGUAAUGGUGGGAACUCUAAAGAGACUGCCGGCGACAAGCCGGAGGAAGGUGGGGAUGACGUCAAGUCAUCAUGGCCCUUAUGUCCUGGGCUACACACAUGCUACAAUGGUUGAUACAAUGGGUCGCUAAGCCGAAAGGUGGAGCCAAUCCCAUCAAAGUCAAUCUCAGUUCGGAUUGCAGGCUGAAACUCGCCUGCAUGAAGUUGGAAUCGCUAGUAAUCGUGGGUCAGCAAUACCACGGUGAAUACGUUCCCGGCCUUGCACACACCGCCCGUCACACCACGAAAGUCGGUUUUACCCGAAAUGGCUGAGCUA